rnacentral:piRNA from 1 species
CUGAGGGAGACGAAAAAGUUUAUUUUUU